GUCUACGGCCAUGCUACCCUGAACAAGCCCGAUCCCAUCUGAUCUCAGAAGCUAAGCAGGGUUGGGCCUGGUUAGUACUUGGAUGGGAGACCACCUAAGAAGACCAGGUGUUGUGGGGG
rnacentral:rRNA from 1 species